AGUCAAUAGAUACCCCGGUAGUCCACGCCCUAAACGAUGUCUACUAGUUGUUGGUGGAGUAAAAUCCAUGAGUAAACGCAGCUAAACGCGUGAAGUAGACCGCCUGGGGAGUACGGUCGCAAGAUUAAAACUCAAAGGAAUUGACGGGGGCCCGCACAAGCGGUGGAUUAUGUGGAUUAAAUUCGAUGCAACGCGAAAAACCUUACCUGGCCCUGACAUGCCACUAACGAAGCAGAGAUGCAUUAGGUGCCCGUAAGGGAAAGUGGACACAGGUGCUGCAUGGCUGUCGCCAGCUCGUGUCGUGAGAUGUUGGGUUAAGUCCCGCAACGAGCGCAACCCUUGCCAUUAAUUGCCAUCAUUUAGUUGGGCACUUUAAUGGGACUGCCGGUGACAAACCGGAGGAAGGUGGGGAUGACGUCAAGUCCUCAUGGCCCUUAUGGCCAGGGCUUCACACGUAAUACAAUGGUCGGUACAGAGAGUUGCCAACCCGCGAGGGGUAGCUAAUCUCAGAAAGCCGAUCGUAGUCCGGAUUGUUCUCUGC
rnacentral:rRNA from 1 species